rnacentral:lncRNA from 1 species
AUAAAAACCUUUCUCGACUCUGAGUUGCGGGUUCGAAACCGGCUGCUUUCAUUUUUUAUCACUUUUCUUUUCUUUUUCUGGUUUUCUGAAUGAUUAAUGUCACAUUCCCCUUCAUUUGUACUAUACUUGCAAAAGUCUACAUUGUAGACAAAAUAAAACAUUGAUAAUAUGUGGAGUAGGAGGGAAAGGAUAUGACCGUGCUCAUCUGACCACCAGUAUCUUUAUCCCAAACAAGAAGUUUGCCACUUGGCAAACAACACAUCUAAACUCAUUACCUUCAUUCAACCAAUGAGAGAGCAAGCCUUAUCCUAUCCAUUAUCCAACUCACUCCAAAGCCCACCAAAUAACUCCCCAAUUGCCACACAAAAACUCUUCCAAAUACUCUGUUUCAAACACAGAGAUCACAUUGGAACUGCAAAACAACACCAACCAUGGCAGCCUCACUCCAAGCAGCUGCUACUCUUAUGCAGCCCACCAAGGUGGGCGCGCCGGCAAGGACCAGCCUUCAGCUCAGGCCCUCCCAGAAUGUCUCCAAGGCCUUUGGCUUGGAACCAUCUGCCUCUGCUAGGCUCACUUGCUCUCUGCAGUCUGAUCUCAAGGACUUUGCUCACAAGUGUGUUGAUGCCUCUAAGAUUGCUGGCUUUGCUCUUGCUACUUCUGCCCUCGUCGUCUCGGUAUGCUGCUUAAUUCCAUUUCACUGCUUGAUUAGUUUCUUACUUCAUGUGCUUACAACUGUAUAAAAGAAGAACAAUGAUGAAUUUUAUUAUCUUUAUUAUGUAUGUGUAUAGGGUAUGAACUUUCUAUGGUUUAGAGGGAUGUAGAUUAGUUUGUGGUACCUGUUGUAUAUACAAAGGUUUCAGAUGUUCUCUGUGGCAUGCUAGAUAUUUGACAAGUUAUGUUGCUAGAAUGACACUCUGAAUGGGACAUCAUUUGGGCAUAAGUCGAUCUGAUAUGAUGAGUUUAGAUUCACCAUUUGAUAACACAAUCAUCGGAUUUUCUAUCGUUGUGCUCGAUGGAUCUCACAUAAACAAUUUAGAUCGACAGUCUGACAACAUAAUGUCACUGUAGUUGUUAGAUUUCAUUUCAAUUCUGGUGGUGAUGAAUGGUGAUUAACAUUUUAUCAUUGUUGGCAACCACUUGUGUUUCCAGGGAGCAGGUGCAGAGGGAGUUCCAAAGAGGCUGACCUUUGAUGAAAUCCAGAGCAAGACAUACUUGGAAGUGAAGGGGACAGGAACUGCAAACCAAUGCCCAACCAUUGAUGGAGGGUUAGAAGCAUUCGCCUUCAAGCCGGGCAAGUACACCGCCAAGAAGUUCUGCCUAGAGCCCACAUCCUUCACUGUCAAGGCAGAGAGUGUGAACAAGAAUGCUCCACCAGAGUUCCAAAACACCAAGCUGAUGACCCGUCUAACCUACACCCUCGAUGAGAUCGAAGGGCCUUUCGAAGUGUCCCCAGAUGGCACUCUCAAGUUUGAGGAGAAAGAUGGGAUUGACUAUGCUGCAGUCACAGUCCAGCUCCCCGGAGGCGAGCGUGUCCCUUUCCUCUUCACCAUCAAACAGCUUGUAGCCUCAGGCAAACCCGAAAACUUUGGAGGGGAGUUUCUAGUACCAUCGUACCGCGGUUCUUCUUUCUUGGACCCAAAGGGUAGAGGAGGCUCCACUGGUUAUGACAAUGCCAUUGCAUUGCCAGCAGGAGGCAGAGGAGAUGAGGAGGAGUUGGCCAAGGAGAACAUCAAGAAUACUGCUUCAUCAAAAGGGAAGAUCACACUGAGUGUGACCAAGAGCAAGCCUGAGAGUGGAGAGUUGAUUGGAGUGUUUGAGAGCAUCCAGCCAUCUGAUACUGAUUUGGGAGCAAAGACUCCAAAGGAUGUCAAAAUCCAGGGAGUCUGGUAUGCUCAGCUUGAUUAAGUAGGCCUCUUAUUAAAUUCCCUGUAUGUAUUGAUGUACUUACUCAUUCUGGGUUUCAGAUUUUGCUAUAAAAGUGAAGGUCUUGCUGAACUUUCUUUGUAACCCAAUUGGCCAUGCACUCAGAUCAUUGAGAUCAUUAUCUUUCUUGUAUAUUAUCAUGCCCUAUUAUUAUGAAAAUCCCUCAAUUAUUCCAAACCUCCACAGCUUCAAUGAUCACAAAUUUGAGCCUGAAAAUUGUGAUCAAAAUUAUUAAUCAAAUGGGAGCAUGAAUAUUUGAGAUGGGUUUGGAUUGGGAUCGUUUCCAUGGAAAAACAAAAAGAAAAAAACUAAACAAAAGCAUGGCCAUUCAAAUAAGGUUCAUCCUGUUCAUGAUCUUUCUUUCACUGUAGCUAAUUUGCUUUCUCAUAUCCUUUUAU